CUGAUCUAGUUGGGUUUAAAGCGUGCGCAGGCGGUUUUGUAAGACAGAGGUGAAAUCCCCGGGCUCAACCUGGGAACUGCCUUUGUGACUGCAAGGCUGGAGUGCGGCAGAGGGGGAUGGAAUUCCGCGUGUAGCAGUGAAAUGCGUAGAUAUGCGGAGGAACACCGACGGCGAAGGCAAUCCCCUGGGCCUGCACUGACGCUCAUGCACGAAAGCGUGGGGAGCAAACA
rnacentral:rRNA from 1 species